AUGAACGCUAGCUACAGGCUUAACACAUGCAAGUCGCGGGGCAGCAUGGUCUUAGCUUGCUAAGGCCGAUGGCGACCGGCGCACGGGUGAGUAACACGUAUCCAACCUGCCGUCUACUCUUGGACAGCCUUCUGAAAGGAAGAUUAAUACAAGAUGGCAUCAUGAGUCCGCAUGUUCACAUGAUUAAAGGUAUUCCGGUAGACGAUGGGGAUGCGUUCCAUUAGAUAGUAGGCGGGGUAACGGCCCACCUAGUCUUCGAUGGAUAGGGGUUCUGAGAGGAAGGUCCCCCACAUUGGAACUGAGACACGGUCCAAACUCCUACGGGAGGCAGCAGUGAGGAAUAUUGGUCAAUGGGCGCAGGCCUGAACCAGCCAAGUAGCGUGAAGGAUGACUGCCCUAUGGGUUGUAAACUUCUUUUAUAAAGGAAUAAAGUCGGGUAUGUAUACCCGUUUGCAUGUACUUUAUGAAUAAGGAUCGGCUAACUCCGU
rnacentral:rRNA from 1 species